rnacentral:rRNA from 1 species
CUACGGGCUGCUCCAGUGGGGAAUAUUGGACAAUGGGGGAAACCCUGAUCCAGCAAUGCCGCGUGUGUGAAGAAGGCCUGCGGGUUGUAAAGCACUUUCGGUUGGGAGGACUGCUUCUAGCACUAAUAUUGUUGGAAGUUGACGUUACCUUCAGAAGAAGCACCGGCUAACUCCGUGCCAGCAGCCGCGGUAAUACGGGGGGUGCAAGCGUUAAUCGGAAUUACUGGGCGUAAAGCGCGCGUAGGCGGCUAGAUCAGUCGGGUGUGAAAGCCCCGGGCUUAACCUGGGAACUGCAUCCGAUACUGUCUAGCUUGAGUACAGGAGAGGAGAGUGGAAUUCCACAUGUAGCGGUGAAAUGCGUAGAUAUGUGGAGGAACACCAAUGGCGAAGGCAGCUCUCUGGCCUGAUACUGACGCUGAGGUGCGAAAGCGUGGGGAGCAAACAGGAUUAGAUACCCUUGUAGUC